GUUCAAGCUACCAAGGGUCUACGGUGGAUGCCUUGGUGUCGAGAGCCGACGAAGGACGUAGCAGGCUGCGAAAGCCCCGGGUAGCUGCCAAGCAAGCUCCGAUCCGGGGGUGUCCGAAUGGGGAAACCCGGCUGGGGUAAUGCCCAGUCACUCCGGUCUGAACACAUAGGGCCGGUAGAGGUAACCGGGUGAACUGAAACAUCUAAGUAACCCGAGGAAAGUAAAGCAACCGCGACUCCCUGAGUAGUGGCGAGCGAAACGGGAAGAGCCUAAACCGAUGUGGUGUGAUAGCCCGACGGCGUUGCCAUAUCGGUGUUGUGGGACCCGCCCGCCGGUGCGUCGGAACCGGCAGGAAGUUACAAAGCCGGGUGAUAGUAGAACAGGUCUGGAAAGACCGGCCAUAGAAGGUAAUAGCCCUGUACACGAAAUCACUCCGGUCUUCCGGUGGUGAUCCCGAGUAGCGUCGGGGAUAUCUGGCGUGAAUCCGCGAGGACCACCUCGUAAGGCUAAGUACUACUCGACGACCGAUAGCGGACUAGUACCGUGAGGGAAAGGUGAAAAGAACCCCGGCGAGGGGAGUGAAAUAGUACCUGAAACCGUAGACCUACAAGCAGUGGGAGGGGGCGUUUAGACGCUCCUGACCGCCUGCCUUUUGAAGAAUGAGCCGGCGAGUUAGUGCUAUGUGGCAAGGUUAAGGCGUAGUCCGGAGCCGAAGCGAAAGCGAGUCUGAAUAGGGCGCACAGUCGCAUGGUCUAGACCCGAAGCCGAGUGAGCUAUCCAUGGGCAGGGUGAAGCGAGGGUAAGACCUCGUGGAGGCCCGAACCCACCUAGGUUGAAAACUGGGGGGAUGACCUGUGGAUAGGGGUGAAAGGCCAAACAAACUCGGUGAUAGCUGGUUCUCCCCGAAAUAGCUUUAGGGCUAGCGUCGCGUGUUCCGCUAUGGGGGUAGAGCACUGAUUGGGCUAGGGGGCUUACCCGCUUACCAAACUCAGUCAAACUCCGAAUCUCAUAGUGCCAAAGUGCGGCAGUCAGACCGUGUGGGAUGAGCUUCACGGUCGAAAGGGAAACAGCCCAGAUCGCCGGCUAAGGCCCCUAAGUGUGUGCUAAGUGGGAAACGAGGUAGAAACGCCAAAACAGCCAGGAGGUUGGCUUAGAAGCAGCCAUUCCUUGAAAGAGUGCGUAACAGCUCACUGGUCGAGUGUUUCUGCGCGGAAAAUGUAACGGGGCUCAAGCACACCGCCGAAGCCGCGGGAUUUCAUCAUCAACUCCGGCGCAACCAAAGCGUUCGCGCUUUAAACGCGUCCAGAGGAUGGGAUCGGUAGGGGAGCGUCGAGCAGCCAGAGAAGCAGCGGCGUAAGCCAGCUGUGGAGGCUGCUGGAGUGAGAAUGCCGGUAUGAGUAGCGAGAGUGGAGUGAGAAUCUCCACCGCCGAAAGUCCAAGGUUUCCUGGGGAAGGCUCGUCCGCCCAGGGUUAGUCGGGACCUAAGGCGAGGCCGAAAGGCGUAGUCGAUGGAUAACUGGUUGAUAUUCCAGUACCACCAUGCAAACGUCCAGACCAAAUGCGGUCAGCUAAGAAGGGUCCUUCGGGACGCUUCGACCCGGCCACAGGAGGUCAGCAAUGGGAUGACGCGGAAGGGUAAGUGGACCCGGGCGUUGGUUGCCCCGGGGUAAGUGUGUAGGGCGAGGUCCAGGCAAAUCCGGACCUCAUGAAGCCAGAGGCACGAAGCCGAGCCGUAUUAGGCGAAGCCACUGAACGCCCAUGCCGCCGAGAAAACUCUCUAGCGAGUCUGCAUGGUGCCCGUACCCCAAACCGACACAGGUGGACAGGUAGAGAAUACCAAGGCGAGCGAGAUAACUCUGGUUAAGGAACUCGGCAAAAUGGUUCCGUAACUUCGGGAGAAGGAUCGCCCCGGUAAAGUGAAGGAUGAACAUCCGGAGCUUGAGGGGGCUGCAGUGACCAGGCCCGAGCGACUGUUUACUAAAAACACAGCAGCGUGCUAAGUCGCAAGACGCUGUAUACGCUGUGACGCCUGCCCGGUGCCGGAAGGUCAAGAGGAGGGGUUAGCUUCGGCGAAGCUCUGAAUCUAAGCCCCGGUAAACGGCGGCCGUAACUAUAACGGUCCUAAGGUUGAAGAAUUCGCAGCCUUAGUAAAACUGAACCAUAUGCGGGAAACUCCUCGCACAGCCGGCCGGUACUCGGCUGUUCUAUUAAAAGGGACAGUCAGUAAAAAUCCGGUCGGACAU
rnacentral:rRNA from 1 species